GUGGACGUGCCGGAGUGGUUAUCGGACAUGACUAUAAAUCAUGUGGGCUUUGCCCGCGCAGGUUCAAAUCCUGCCGUUCAGGUCG